UUCUGUUCCAUUGACCUGAAGUUCCACUCUUAUUUCAAUUGGACCUUCAAAAUGCACUAGUAACUGAGACGAUUUUUAUAUAAUUUCAUGGAAGGCACAAAGCACAUGCUGCCUCCUCUGCCCAGAGACACAACAGCCUCUGGUGAUUCACAGGCCCUUUCUGGCCACAGCCAAGGCCAUGGGGACGAGGGUACACGGGGAAGGGGGCCGGAGACUGAGCGCCAUAGAAACUGCUGAAGCACAAGAUGUAAGAGUUUCCACGCUCAGGAAGAUCCAGGGCUUCCUGGAGCCUGGCGUGCCCCCUGGAGGACUUGCUCUCAGCGUGCCCAUGCGCCUGCCCCUGGUCACAGCUGGGACACAGAGAAAGGACCUGAGGAGCUCAGGCCCACGGCAGGUGGUUAUUCAAGUCUCAUGUGCAUUCUGUGUUCUGAGCAGAGGUUGAGCUCGGUGGGAGAGAUGGGCUGGGCACUGCCCUCACGGGUGGCACACGGUGCCUCCUGGAGCCCCCGACCAAGAUGCCAGGGAGCUCCCACACCUGGAUCCCGAGGCCUCCCCCACAUGAGGCACCCUGCCAGAGAUGGUGGGUUUGGACUAUCCCCCUUUUAAAAGGAACUUGGGGGUACAGCUCAAAGGAACCAUAAACACACUUAAAACAAGCAAAUUCUUCAGCAUUUCAUCCAAUUCAGUAGAUUUCAAAAAACAAACCUCACAUGAAAUCAGUGAAUCAAUCACCUGGUAUUUGUAACUAAAUUAAAAGUCUGCCAUUUGGUAUCA